rnacentral:rRNA from 1 species
UACGGGGGGGGUAAGCGUUGUUCGGAAUUACUGGGCGUAAAGGGCUCGUAGGCGGCCAACUAAGUCAGACGUGAAAUCCCUCAGCUUAACUGGGGAACUGCGUCUGAUACUGGAUGGCUUGGAUCCGGAAGAGGGAUGCGGAAUUCCAGGUGUAGCGGUGAAAUGCGUAGAUAUCUGGAGGAACACCGGUGGCGAAGGCGGCAUCCUGGGCCGGUAUUGACGCUGAGGCGCGAAAGCCAGGGGAGCAAACGGG